AACGAACGCUGGCGGCGCGCCUAAUACAUGCAAGUCGAGCGAGAAGGUGUAGCAAUACACUUGUAAAGCGGCGAACGGGUGAGGAAUGCAUGGGUAACCUACCCUCGAGUGGGGAAUAACUAGCCGAAAGGUUAGCUAAUACCGCAUACGUUUCCGGAACUUCGGUUUCGGAAAGAAAGCAAUACCGUGGGUAUUGCGCUCCUGGAUGGGCUCAUGUCCUAUCAGCUUGUUGGUGAGGUAACGGCUCACCAAGGCUUCGACGGGUAGCUGGUCUGAGAGGACGAUCAGCCACACUGGCACUGCGACACGGGCCAGACUCCUACGGAGGCAGCAGUAAGGAAUAUUGCGCAAUGGACGAAAGUCUGACGCAGCG
rnacentral:rRNA from 1 species